rnacentral:rRNA from 1 species
UACGUAGGGUGCAAGCGUUGUCCGGAAUUAUUGGGCGUAAAGAGCUCGUAGGCGGUUUGUCGCGUCGGAUGUGAAAAUCCAGGGCUUAACCCUGGACCUGCAUUCGAUACGGGCAGACUAGAGUUCGGUAGGGGAGACUGGAAUUCCUGGUGUAGCGGUGAAAUGCGCAGAUAUCAGGAGGAACACCGGUGGCGAAGGCGGGUCUCUGGGCCGUAACUGACGCUGAGGAGCGAAAGCAUGGGGAGCGAACAGG